GACGAACGCUGGCGGCGUGCUUAACACAUGCGAGUCGAACGGAAAGGCCCUGCGUUUGUGGGGUGCUCGAGUGGCGAACGGGUGAGUAACACGUGAGUAACCUGCCCUUGACUUUGGGAUAACUUCAGGAAACUGGGGCUAAUACCGGAUAGGAGCUCCUGCUGCAUGGGGGGGGUUGGAAAGUUUCGGCGGUUGGGGAUGGACUCGCGGCUUAUCAGCUUGUUGGUGGGGUAGUGGCUUACCAAGGCUUUGACGGGUAGCCGGCCUGAGAGGGUGACCGGCGACAUUGGGACUGAGAUACGGCCCAGACUCCUACGGGAGGCAGUAGUGGGGAAUAUUGCACAAUGGGCGGAAGUGUGAUGUAGCAACGCCGCGUGCGGGAUGACGGCCUUCGGGUUGUAAACCGCUUUCGCAUGUGCCGAAGCGUGAGUGACGGUAAUGGGUAAAGAAGCAACGGCUAACUACGUG
rnacentral:rRNA from 1 species